rnacentral:lncRNA from 1 species
AUGACCCCCACCUCUCGAAUCAAGUGACACGUGGACGGUAAACUGCUGGGGGCCUGCGCUGUGGCGGAGGGGGGGUUGGGUUUGCCCCCAGCUCCCGCCUGUGGGCCGCUGCCCACCCUCAGGGCUCACGUCCUCGCUCUGACGCUGGCUGUGUGGCGGGCCCCAUGUGGACACCGAUUCCCCAGCCAGCGUCACGCACACGUCUCCCGCCGCCUCCCCGUGAACAUCCGUGUGGCCCAGUGUCCACCCGCCCUGUGAAUUCCCUGGACACACGUGUCCCCUUAUUUCUCUCCGGGCAGCAGAACCAGAAAUUGAAAUCCACACACCCCGCGUGCAUGCACCCCACUGUCAGAGGGACCCUGGGCCAGCCGCCAUGCCACUCGCUGCCUCAGUUUCCUUCUCGGAAAUGGGUGGAGAUCCAGGCUUCUCUCCUCACGCUUCUGGAGGCUGGGAGUCUGAGAUCCAGGCUGGCUCCCCAGAGGCCUCUCUGCCUGGCGUGUUGACGGCCAUCACUCCCCGUGUCCUCACAUGGCCGGCCCUCUGCAUGUCUGUGUCCUACUCUCCUUACAAGGACAUUUGUUGCACUGGAUCAGGACUCACCCACGUGACCUCAUUAUCACCUCCGUAAAGUCCCCAUCUCCAAACACGGUCACGUUCUGAGAUGCUGGGGGUGAGGGCUUCGCAUAUGGGUUUGCGGGGACACGGUUCGGCCAUGACACCUUGGGUGGCUGUUACUUCGGGGAAGGAGGGCGUAAAAGCCGAGAUCCGAAGCACCGUGGCCACAAGACCCGGGACUUCAGAGUCCUUCUUGCGGAGCUCCCCUCCUCCACUCGCCCUGCCCGGCAGCCGGCCCCCUCCUGCACGGGUCCCCACGGAGGGCCUGCACCCUGCGCGGAGUGACGGGCUGAGCAUGUGCGACCGCAGCCUCCUUGGGCAGUUCUGGAGUUCGUGCUCACAAACCGUCAUCCCGCGUCCUGUCAUCCACGUGAUAUUCUCCACGGGAAUAGACCCGCCUGCCUCAAAGGCUUCAGUUACUGCAACUGGCAAGCGAGCAUCUCUGGAAACAACAUUUGUUCGCUCCGUAGGACUGGAGGAGAGCUGCGGCUUGCGCUUUUCUCCUUGGGAUGAUUUUUAAAGAAUUUCAACUGCAAUGACGUUGCAAGAUGAAAAACGUGUUUUUCACCGGCUCUUGAGCUCUGUCUGGUCCUAGGGCUCCAGCAUCAGUUUUGAGGCAGUCCACAGGGUAUGCCUGCUGGAGAUGGGACUCCAUCCGUCCUUGGGGUGAAGGACGCGUCCACC